AGAAUCCUGAGUACGGCGGGGCACGUGAAACCUUGUCGGAAUCAACGGGGACCAUCCCGUAAGGCUAAAUACUCUCUAGUGACCGAUAGUGAACAAGUACCGUGAGGGAAAGGUGAAAAGAACCCCGGGAGGGGAGUGAAAUAGAAUACUGAAACCGUGUGCUUACAAAAAGUUCGAGCCCGUUAAUGGGUGAGAGCGUGCCUUUUGCAGAAUGAGCCGGCGAGUUAUGGUAUAGUGCAAGGUUAAGCGGAAAACGCGGAGCCGAAGCGAAAGCGAGUCUUAAUAGGGCGCGUGAGUACUAUGCUGUAGACCCGAAACCGAGUGAUCUAGCCAUGAGCAGGUUGAAGUAAGGGUGAAACCUUAUGGAGGACCGAACCAGGGAACGUUGUAAAGUUCUUGGAUGACUUGUGGCUAGCGGUGAAAUUCCAAUCGAACUCGGAUAUAGCUGGUUCUCCCCGAAAUAGGUUUAGGCCUAGCCUCAGAUAUCGAACAUGGAGGUAGAGCACUGAAUAUGGAAUGGCCCCGUCUAGGGGUACUGACUGUAAUCAAUCUCCGAAUGCCAUGUAUCAGUUAGUCUGGGAGUCAGUGUAUGAGGUGAUAACGUCCAUACGCGAGAGGAAAACAAUCCAGACCACCAGUUAAGGUCCCAAAAUAUACGUUAAGUGGGAAAGGAUGUGGGAUUGCACGAACAGCUAGGAGGUUGGCUUAGAAGCAGCCAUCCUUUAAAGAGUGCGUAAUAGCUCACUAGUCGAGUGAUCCUGCGCCGAAAAUGUACCGGGGCUAAACGUAUUACCGAAACUGUGGAUUUAUACUUGUAUAAAUGGUAGGGGAGCGUUCUAAGGGCACUGAAGGCAGAUCGAGAGAACUGCUGGAGCGCUUAGAAGUGAGAAUGCCGGUGUGAGUAACGUAAGGAAGGUGAGAAUCCUUCCCACCGAUUGACCAAGGUUUCCAGGGUAAAGUUCGUCUUCCCUGGGUUAGUCAGGACCUAAGGCGAGGCUGAAAAGCGUAGUCGAUGGACAACAGGUUUAUAUUCCUGUACUGGCUAUAUAACUGAUGGAGUGACGGAGAAAGCUAGUAAGAGCCCAUUAUUGGAUUUGGGUCUAAGUACAAAGGAUAAUGCGUUAGCAAAUCUGCGACAUUAUAAAGUCUGAAGUACGAAUGUGAAGGUUCUACGGAACCGAAAUCUUAUGACGCUAUGCUUCCAAGAAAAACUUCUAAAGAUAUUAUAUAGUCACCUGUACCGAGAACCGACACAGGUGGUCAAGUAGAGUAUACUAAGGUGAGCGAGAGAACUAUGGUUAAGGAACUCGGCAAAAUGGCCCCGUAACUUCGGAAUAAGGGGAGACGACGCAAGUCGUUCGCAGAGAAUAGUCCCAAGCAACUGUUUACCAAAAACACAGGUUUCUGCAAAAGCGCAAGCUGAUGUAUAGGAGCUGACGCCUGCCCAGUGCUGGAAGGUUAAGAGGAUUUGUUAGGUGGACGCAAGUCGAUAACAUCGAAGCAAUGAAUUGAAGCCCCAGUGAACGGCGGCCGUAACUAUAACGGUCCUAAGGUAGCGAAAUUCCUUGUCAGGUAAGUUCUGACCCGCACGAAAGGCGUAAUGAUUUGGGCGCUGUCUCAACCAUGGACUCGGUGAAAUCUUAAUACCUGUGAAAAUGCAGGUUACCCGCGACAGGACGGAAAGACCCCAUGGAGCUUUACUGUAGCUUGAUAUUGGAAUCAGGCAAUGUAUGUAGAGGAUAGGUGGUAGACUAUGAAGUAUAGACGCCAGUUUAUACAGAGUCGCCCUUGGAAUACCACCCUUACGUUGUUUGAUUUCUAACUUGUUCCCGUGAUCCGGGAAGAGGACAGUGUCUGGCGGGCAGUUUGACUGGGGCGGUCGCCUCCCAAAAAGUAACGGAGGCGCCCAAAGG
rnacentral:rRNA from 1 species